GACGGUACCUAAGGAAUAAGCACCGGCUAACUCCGUGCAGAGCGGGUAUCGGUGAGGUGCAAGCGUUACUCGGAAUCACUGGGCGUAAAGGGCGCGUAGGCGGAUUAUCAAGUCUCUUGUGAAAUCUAAUGGCUUAACCAUUAAACUGCUUGGGAAACUGAUAGUCUAGAGUGAGGGAGAGGCAGAUGGAAUUGGUGGUGUAGGGGUAAAAUCCGUAGAUAUCACCAAGAAUACCCAUUGCGAAGGCGAUCUGCUGGAACUCAACUGACGCUAAGGCGCGAAAGCGUGGGGAGCAAACAGGAUUAGAUACCCUGGUAGUCCACGCCCUAAACGAUGUACACUAGUUGUUGGGGUGCUAGUCAUCUCAGUAAUGCAGCUAACGCAUUAAGUGUACCGCCUGGGGAGUACGGUCGCAAGAUUAAAACUCAAAGGAAUAGACGGGGACCCGCACAAGCGGUGGAGCAUGUGGUUUAAUUCGAAGAUACGCGAAGAACCUUACCUGGGCUUGAUAUCCUAAGAACCUUUUAGAGAUAAGAGGGUGCUAGCUUGCUAGAACUUAGAGACAGGUGCUGCACGGCUGUCGUCAGCUCGUGUCGUGAGAUGUUGGGUUAAGUCCCGCAACGAGCGCAACCCACGUAUUUAGUUGCUAACGGUUCGGCCGAGCACUCUAAAUAGACUGCCUUCGUAAGGAGGAGGAAGGUGUGGACGACGUCAAGUCAUCAUGGCCCUUAUGCCCAGGGCGACACACUGCCUACCAAUGAA
rnacentral:rRNA from 1 species